AGCAGCCGCGGUAAUUCCAGCUCCAAUAGCGUAUAUUAAAGUUGUUGCAGUUAAAAAGCUCGUAGUUGAAUUUCGGGAUCAGUUGGUCGGUCGUGCCUCGGUACGUACUGGUCAAAUUGAUUCCUACCUUCUGACGAACCACGAUGUCAUUAAUUUGGUGUCGCGGGAAAUCAGGACUGUUACUUUGAAAAAAUUAGAGUGUUUAAAGCAGGCUCGCGCUUGAAUACAUUAGCAUGGAAUAAUGAAAUAGGACGUUUGAUUCUAUUUUGUUGGUUUCUAGGAUCGACGUAAUGAUUAAUAGGGAUAGUUGGGGGCAUUAGUAUUCAAUUGUCAGAGGUGAAAUUCUUGGAUUUAUUGAAGACUAACUACUGCGAAAGCAUUUGCCAAGGAUGUUUUCAUUAAUCAAGAACGAAAGUUAGGGAAUCGAAGACGAUCAGAUACCGUCGUAGUCUUAACCAUAAACUAUGCCGACUAGGGAUCGGAUGAUGUUAAUUUUUUAAUGACUCAUUCGGCGCCUUAC
rnacentral:misc_RNA from 1 species